AUACACAUGAAAAAUGUUGACAAAACACACCGACGAAAAGAUUUCUGCAUGCUUGGAACAUAAGUAUAUUUAAUGUUGGCUGAAGAUAUUAAGGAAUAAAAGAUCUACUGAUUAAACAAGUAGCAUAGUCGAAUAUAAUGUGGAAGAAUCUUCAAUGAUGACACAAAUGUUGAUAUCGUACACAUAUUGAAGUGAUUCCUUUAUCUUUGUAUGAUGAAAUCAGCAGUACUACUUUGGUUUCUUCAAGUUAUUGCUGUUACGUUUGUAUAUGAGUUAAAAUGUCCACCCCCAGGACAUUGGCGUCUCAGAGCAAGAAAGUUUUAUUGCGGUCAAAGCUAUGUGUGUUUGUUGCGUUCUCCAGAGAAUUCGUAUCGAGAGACAUGUGAUGGACUGGAUUAUAGUAGCACAGGCAGCAAACUUAUAUUUGAACCGUAUUUCAACAAAGCAGGAUGCAGCUCUAAAAGAUAUCAGCCUUUCCCAUUUUCAACAGAUGGCAACAAUAAGUGUGUGUAUCAAACGUCUUUUUGUAAUGAAGAGGGUCAAAUCGUCCACCGUGAAGGAAGUAUGAUAAAUGAUACAACAUGUGGAUGUGAUUCUUCACAAGGGUACACAUUUAUAACCACGCCAAAACACAACUG